GCCCGUCUAGCUCAGUUUGUAGAGCGCAAGGCUCUUAAACUUGUGGUCGUUGGUUCGAGCCCACUGUGGGCG
rfam:Brassica napus, WGS project CCCW01000000 data, contig: 20004